rnacentral:lncRNA from 1 species
AUGCCUAAUGAAGCAGCUAGCCGUCGAAUAAUAAAAUUAAUGUGUCUUGGAUAAAGUUGUUAUUGUUGCGUCUUUGCAUUCUCGUUUCAUAUUUCUAGUUUUUGUUGCUUUGGUCAUGUUUCUUGUUUUUUGUUUUUGUUUUUGUUUCUUGUUGCGUCUUCGUUUGCAUAUGUUAACCUAAAUUAAUGCAAUGUUUUCCCUUUAAAUCAUUGAAGAGCUCAUCCCGUAUUUAACACUAUGUUUUCUAGGGUUCAACAUAAAGCAAAUUGUUUAAGAAUAAGAUAUAUUUUGAUA